rnacentral:sRNA from 1 species
AUUGCCCGCAAGCACAACCUAUGUGAGUGUGGGUGGCUGCAAUGUGUGGGGGGACGGUGACCUCCUCCUUGGCUGCGCUGUGAUGCUGAGAUUGAGUCUGUGUUUUGUGGGUGGCAGGUGGGGAGACAGAAGAGGAGAAGAUUCGUGUGGACAUUUUGGAGAACCAGGUUAUGGAUAACCACAUGGAGCUGGUCAGACUGUGCUAUGACCCAGAUUUUGUGAGUCCCACACCCUACUCCCAGUCACCCAUUUCCCUGCCUUUUGGCCCAGACCAGGGAGGGACUUCCAAAGUCAGGUCUGUAGCAGACUCCAGCCCGCUGACUGGAGACGUCUAUAACCUGGUUCUCCAAAAUGUCCACACGAAUCUUCUCCUCUUCUGAAGAUUCUUGUGGACAUUUUGGAGAACCAGACCACGGACAACUGGAUGCAACUGGUCAUGAUCUGCUACCACCCAGAGUUUGUGAGUCUCCCCAGUGAGCUGCACCUGGCAGAGUUUGGAUUUGGGGCCAGGACUCUUACAUUCCUGCACGCACUGGUCUUUUCUUAAGUCCUUGGUACCACUCAUCCUCCAAGUGCUUUCCCAUACUAUCAGCAGUUAUUCUCACGACUCCAAUGUCAUGUCAACAAAAGCAGAGGCAAUUCCCACCAACCUUAGGACACGAUCCAGGCAUCCCAGGGUAGAAAUUCAAUUCCUAGAUGGUAAAAUUUGUGUUCAGAAUCUCCUUCAUCUCCUCUGGCCUCUGGCCUCUGUUAUGGGUCAUUUCUGUCAGUUGAUUUAUAUCACCUACCUGCUCCUAGAAUAUACAGACUCAAGUACAAGACCAAGGAAUGUAAUGGCACCCUCAAAUUGCAUCUUCUCCUCAAAGUUUUCCAAGUGCUGUCAUUGACAUGCACAGGGAUCUGCGCAUUUUCAUAACAGACAGCUCAGAGGCAGCCAGAGGGCCUUUAUUCCUCUCCCUCCUUCCUUUCAACUUGAACUUCUCAUCUCCCUGGAAACUAGUCAAUGUUCAUUGUUUUCUUCUGUCACCCCAUUAGAAGGAACUUUCUACUUCUUUCCCUGAGCUCCUUUAGUUCUUUGCAUCCUUGAUUCUGCCCAUGUCUGGAUCCAGAGGCUGCCAGGUGCUCGGGCGCUCAUGCGGCUGACCCAGAGGCUAUUGGGAGGCCAGUGAGGACAGAUUCAGGAAGAGCAUCUCAUUCUGAUCACUUCAGAUAGGGUCUGGCACCCAGUCAGAGUCUAAUAAAUGCUGAUGUAUCCAAUUGAAGCCUGGGCACUGCCCCAGUUUUAGUUGUGGGGAAGAUGGCUGCUUGCCCGUGGCCAGCCUGGGCCGUCCACAGCCCUGGGGAGGCCACGUCUGUGCAGGGAGCUUUUGUCUGAGGGUGGUGACAGCUGUUUUCUGCCUCAGGAGAAACUGAAGCCAAAAUGCUUGGAGGAACUCCCUGAAAAGCUAAAGCUCUACUCAGAGUUUCUGGGGAAGCAGCCAUGGUUUGCAGGAGACAAGAUCACCUUUGUGGAUUUCCUUGCCUACGAUGUCCUUGACAUGAAGCGUAUAUUUGAGCCCAAGUGCUUGGAUGCCUUCCUAAACUUGAAGGACUUCAUCUCCCGCUUUGAGGUGAUGCCCCCAUCCUCCUUUCUCUUUGAUGCCCCUUGUUCCUUUCUCUCCUUUCAGAUGCUUUCCCAGUCCUGGAGCUACACAAAGAAUAACUCGUAUGUAUUGAGUACGGGCUUCAUGCCAGGAAUCAUGCCCAGCACAUUAUACCUAUUGUGUGGAAUUUGAAAUUUCCAACAUUCCUACAGGGUGACAGAAUUAUCUUGCCCAUUUUAGAGAUAAGAAAACUGAGAAUGAGAGGGUCAGUCCUUUGCUCAGGGUCCCAGAGCCAGUGGAGGCUGUGCUGGGCUCCCUGUGAGCCUCUGGAUCUAUGGGUGGCAGUCAGGGCUCUCCCAUUUGUGACAAAAGGAGAAGCCUCAGGCCUCAUCCAGCCUGGGUUUCACAGCCCAGAACACUUUGAAAGAGGCAGAGCACUUCAGGACCACGGAUGCAGCUGGCAAUAGUAGGACUGACACACAGUGGCAUUGAUGUUGAGUACUAAACCCGCAGGCAGUAUUCAUAGCCACCCCCAGAAGCUUUGCAUGAUCGGACCCCCAUGUGGAAAAUCCUGAGAUCCGGAGCUGUGGCUGGAGCUGGAUUAGGGUACAUAUGUGGGUGCCCCUGUUGAAGCAGUGUGUGUUGAAGUGCUCUGUGCUGGGGCACUCUCCUUUAUCUUUCUUCCUCUCUUUUUUUCCCUCCAAUGUUCCACGUCUUCCCCCUGUGAGAUGAGUAGCACACUGAUUUUACUCCUAUUCACCGACCUUCUCCUCUGCAUGAGGCAGGGUGUGAGGCACAGUGGGAGUUGCAUAGAUGACUGCCCCAUCCUGGAAAUGAGUGCAGUGAGAGGCCUGCAGGCAGAGCAGCCUGUGAGGUGUGUGUGGCACCAGCUGGGUACCUGGCCUGGGGCCUGCCCCUCACUCACGGGGAACCAUCCCUCACCUGUGUUGAAGUUGUUUGAGAGCAGCAAAUCCUACUUUAGUACAGAUUUGGGGAUUUGAGGCAUUAGUCCAACAGGCUUCUGAGCCUAGAAUCUGUUUCCCUUUCCCACUCCCCAUCAAGAAAUCUGCUUGCUCAGCUAGUUCCCAUCAGCUCUGGUUCUGGUCCAGCCUGAGCAGCCUUGGGGUUAUGUAAGAGGUGGUGGGAGGGGAGCGGUGGGGAACAGCCGAGGGCUGGGGCAUGGAGCCUGCCUGGGCCUGGCCCUGGCCCUUUGGGGAGAGGGAGCCAUGGAUCUCUUUGAAUUCUUUAGAAGUUACAUGGUCAUUGAAUCCUGGUAAGAUUGUGUGCAGCACACCUGAGUGUCAUGUGGCCUGGCUAGCAGUAGUAGGGCUGGAGAUGUGGUGGGGGCACAGGGACACAGGGAGAUUUAGCUCAGGUACCAGGUGGAGAAGUUUGGACUUCAUGCUUUAAUGGGAAUGAUUAGAGCCUGGUCUGGCCUUCCUUUGGUGGUUCACCCUUACCCUAUUCAGUUUCAUCCAGGUUUUGCUAAGUCAUUGGGUGAGAUCUGUGCUCUCUUCUUGGCUGCACAGGUGUGUUCUGAGCCCCUUUGUUCUGCUGGAGGUCGUUUCUGUGUGUGCAAUCCUAGGCAAGCCAAGAACCUCCCUGUGAAAAAGGAGAAUGUUUGUGCAGACAAGGAGUGACAGGAUCUGGCAUGGGGUGUGGCUGGGUGGAAGAGGAGGAGAAUUUGGCAAAAACAUGCUAGAACUGAAGACAGAACCAGGCUAUAUUCCAGCCCUGUCCCACUUACUAGCUAUUUGAGUGUGAGGAAUUUGCUGAACUUCUGUUCUUCUAUAUGAGAAACGGUGAUAAUGGAACUGACCAUGGAGGGUAGUCGAGUGGAUUUUCUAAGCCUGUGUUGUAAUUUCUGUUGGAUAUAAAGCACCCAGCACAGUGUAGAUCUUUCGUAAAUGGUAGCUGUUAUUAUGGUAUAACAUUACUUAAAGGAAGUUGGAAGAGUUAACUUAGAAGAGCUGGGGACCCUAAGAGACUGUGUGAUGCUCCAGCACUUGAGCCCACAUGGAAAGGCUGUGGCCAGGGCCCUGACCUGCUGUGCCUGCAGCAAAGCUACUUGAGCCCUUCUAGACAGCAGACCUGGCUCUGGCCCCUUCUUCCCGCCCUCAGGGUUUGAAGAAGAUCUCUGCCUACAUGAAGUCCAGCCAAUUCUUCCGAGGUCUUUUGUUUGGAAAGUCAGCUACAUGGAACAGCAAAUAGGGCCCCGUGAUGCCAGAAGAUGGGAGGGAGGAGCCAACCUUGCUGCCUGCGACCCUGGAGGACAGCCUGACUCCCUGGACCUGCCUUCUUCCUUUUUCCUUCUUUCUACUCUCUUCUCUUCCCCAAGGCCUCAUUGGCUUCCUUUCUUCUAACAUCAUCCCUCCCUGCAUCGAGGCUCUUUAAAGCUUCAGCUCCCCACUGUCCUCCAUCAAAGUCCCCCUCCUAACGUCUUCCUUUUCCUGCACUAACGCCAACCUGACUACUUUUCCUGUCAGUGCUUUUCUCUUCUUUGAGAAGCCAGACUGAUCUCUGAGCUCCCUAGCACUGUCCUCAAAGACCAUCUGUAUGCCGUGCUCCCUUUGCUGGGUCCCUACCCCAGCUCCGUGUGAUGCCCAGUAAAGCCUGAACCAUG